rnacentral:rRNA from 1 species
UGGGGAAUAUUGGACAAUGGGCGAAAGCCUGAUCCAGCAAUGCCGCGUGAGUGAUGAAGGCCUUAGGGUUGUAAAGCUCUUUUACCAGGGAUGAUAAUGACAGUACCUGGAGAAUAAGCUCUGGCUAACUCCGUGCCAGCAGCCGCGGUAAUACGGAGGGAGCUAGCGUUGUUCGGAAUUACUGGGCGUAAAGCGUGCGUAGGCGGUGACUCAAGUCAGAGGUGAAAGCCUGGAGCUCAACUCCAGAACUGCCUUUGAAACUAGGUCGCUAGAAUCUGGGAGAGGUGAGUGGAAUUCCGAGUGUAGAGGUGAAAUUCGUAGAUAUUCGGAAGAACACCAGUGGCGAAGGCGGCUCACUGGACCAGAAUUGACGCUGAGGCACGAAAGCGUGGGGAGCAAACAGGAUUAGAUACCCAAGUAGUCCCUGAGCGGGCUGGCAAGGCGCAU